UACGUAGGGGGCAAGCGUUGUCCGGAAUUAUUGGGCGUAAAGAGCGUGUAGGCGGUCCGGUAAGUCGGCUGUGAAAGUCCAGGGCUCAACCCUGGGAUGCCGGUCGAUACUGCCGGACUAGAGUUCGGAAGAGGCGAGUGGAAUCCCGGUGUAGCGGUGAAAUGCGCAGAUAUCGGGAGGAACACCUAUGGCGAAGGCAGCUCGCUGGGACGUUACUGACGCUGAGACGCGAAAGCGUGGGGAGCAAACAGG
rnacentral:rRNA from 1 species